rnacentral:rRNA from 1 species
AUGUCCCUCCUCCACUACCCGCGCAGCCCUUUCCACGAGUGGCCCGACCUCAUCGCCAGGGCCAAGGAAGGCGGCCUCAACGUCAUCGAGUCCUACGUCUUCUGGAACGUCCAUGAACCCGAGAUAGGCAUGUACAACUUUGAGGGGAGGUACGACAUGGUGAAGUUCUUCAAGCUGAUCCAGGAGCACGAGAUGUUCUCCAUGGUACGAAUCGGGCCCUUCGUCUAGGCGGAGUGGAACCAUGUAGGAUUGCCUCACUGGCUCCGGGAGGUCCCCAACAUCAUCUUUCGCGCGGAUAACGAGCCAUACAAGGUGAUCAAUCGGGCCAUCAAACCACAGAGAAUUAUCAGUUGCAGACAUAUCAAACUAGAUGCAUUUCGAGUAAAGAAAAUAAAAGGCCCAAUGUAA